ACGCCUAAUACAUGCAAGUCGAACGAAGUAGCAAUACUUAGUGGCAGACGGGUGAGUAACAUGUAGGUAUCUUCCCUAUGGUGAGGAAUAACACGAGGAAACUUGUGCUAAUACCUCAUAAGUCUUUACAGAGAAAGCUUUAUGCGCCAUUGGAUGAGCCUGCACUUGAUUAGUUUGUUGGUAGGGUAAUGGCCUACCAAGACAAUGAUCAAUAGCUGAUUUGAGAGGAUGAUCAGCCACAUUGGGACUGAGACACGGCCCAAACUCCUACGGGAGGCAGCAGUAGGGAAUCUUGCACAAUGGGGGAAACCCUGAUGCAGCGAUGCCGCGUGAGUGAAGAAGGCCUUUGGGUUGUAAAGCUCUUUCGUCGGGGAAGAAAAUGACUGUACCCGAAUAAGAAGGUCCGGCUAACUUCGUGCCAGCAGCCGCGGUAAUACGAAGGGACCUAGCGUAGUUCGGAAUUACUGGGCUUAAAGAGUUCGUAGGUGGUUAAAAUAGUUGGUGGUGAAAUCCCAGAGCUUAACUCUGGAACUGCCAUCAAAACUUUUUAGCUAGAGUAUGAUAGAGGAAAGCAGAAUUUCUAGUGUAGAGGUGAAAUUCGUAGAUAUUAGAAAGAAUACCAAUUGCGAAGGCAGCUUUCUGGAUCAUUACUGACGCUGAGGAACGAAAGCAUGGGUAGCGAAGAGGAUUAGAUACCCUCGUAGUCCAUGCCGUAAACGAUGUGUGUUAGACGUUGGAAAUUUAUUUUCAGUGUCGCAGCGAAAGCAAUAAACACACCGCCUGGGGAGUACGACCGC
rnacentral:rRNA from 1 species